UACGAAGGGGGCUAGCGUUGUUCGGAAUCACUGGGCGUAAAGCGCACGUAGGCGGAUUGUUAAGUCGGGGGUGAAAUCCUGAGGCUCAACCUCAGAACUGCCUUCGAUACUGGCAAUCUCGAGUCCGGAAGAGGUUGGUGGAACAGCUAGUGUAGAGGUGAAAUUCGUAGAUAUUAGCUAGAACACCAGUGGCGAAGGCGGCCAACUGGUUCGGUACUGACGCUGAGGUGCGAAAGCGUGGGGAGCAAACAGG
rnacentral:rRNA from 1 species